rnacentral:rRNA from 1 species
CAGCAGCCGCGGGAAUACGUAGGGUGCGAGCGUUAAUCGGAAUUACUGGGCGUAAAGCGUGCGCAGGCGGUUAUGUAAGACAGGUGUGAAAUCCCCGGGCUUAACCUGGGAACUGCGCUUGUGACUGCACAGCUAGAGUAUGGCAGAGGGGGGUGGAAUUCCACGUGUAGCAGUGAAAUGCGUAGAGAUGUGGAGGAACACCGAUGGCGAAGGCAGCCCCCUGGGCCUGCACUGACGCUCAUGCACGAAAGCGUGGGGAGCAAACAGGAUUAGAUACCCGCGUAGUCCCUGUCUCUUAUAC